CCUAGUAACGGGCGAGUGAAGAGGGAAGAGCCCAAGAUUGAAAGCUGGCGUCUUCGGCGUCCGCAUUGUAAUCUCAAGAAGUGUUUUCCGCUUCGGACCAAGCCUAAGUCCCCUGGAAAGGGGCAUCAUAGAGGGUGAUAAUCCCGUACAUGGCUUGGAGCGCCCGAGGCUUUGUGAUACGCUUUCUAAGAGUCGAGUUGUUUGGGAAUGCAGCUCAAAAUGGGUGGUAAAUGCCAUCUAAGGCUAAAUAUUGGGGAGAGACCGAUAGCGAACAAGUACAGUGAUGGAAAGAUGAAAAGAACUUUGAAAAGAGAGUUAAACAGUACGUGAAAUUGCCAAAAGGGAAGGGUAGGAGGUCAGAGAUGCGGCCUGGGAUUCAGCCUUGCUUUUGCUUGGUGUUUUUCCCAGAUUGCAGGCCAACGUCGGUUUUGGGCACUGGAGAAGGGUAGGAGGAACGUGGCACCCCUCGGGGUGUGUUAUAGCCUCCUACUGGAUACAGCGACCGAGACCGAGGACAGCAGCGUACUCGCAAGAGCGGGCCUUCGGGCACCUUUACGCUUAGGGCGUUGGCAUAAUGGCCCUCUACCACCCGUCUUG
rnacentral:rRNA from 1 species